GAGAGAAGGCGGGCGAGGCAGAGCCCGGCGGCUACAAGCGGCAGCGGCGAUGGAGGGAUGGAGGGAUGGAGAGGAGGAGGAGGAAGAUGAGGAGGAGGGCUUUAAAGACACAGCAGGGAGAGGCGUGGCCACCGCCGCCGCCUCAGGUGAGCCGCGGGCCGCCCCUGGCCCCCGGGGAGGCGGCUGUCGGGAGCCCAGGACGGAAAGUGUUGUCUCCGGGAGAUGAGGCGAUUCCUCCAGGUUUUUCUUCAUUGCCAUACCUUCAGAUCAACACCUCUCAUCCAUUAAAGUGCUAUCAACAUAUGUUGAACUGGUACUUAUGUUCCAGCACAGAACACCAGCUCCAUCACAGGGAAUCAUUUUAUCUGAAAGGUGCCCUUUGAUUUCAGCCUCAUUAUUUGAAUCUAUCUAGCUUCACAGAGCUACAUACAGUUGGUGUGACGUGUUAAUAAAAUACAAACUUAAGGAAAAGACUAGGGUAAU
rnacentral:lncRNA from 1 species